rnacentral:rRNA from 1 species
UCGAGCGGUAGAGAGAAGCUUGCUUCUCUUGAGAGCGGCGGACGGGUGAGUAAUGCCUAGGAAUCUGCCUGGUAGUGGGGGAUAACGUUCGGAAACGGACGCUAAUACCGCAUACGUCCUACGGGAGAAAGCAGGGGACCUUCGGGCCUUGCGCUAUCAGAUGAGCCUAGGUCGGAUUAGCUAGUUGGUGGGGUAAUGGCUCACCAAGGCGACGAUCCGUAACUGGUCUGAGAGGAUGAUCAGUCACACUGGAACUGAGACACGGUCCAGACUCCUACGGGAGGCAGCAGUGGGGAAUAUUGGACAAUGGGCGAAAGCCUGAUCCAGCCAUGCCGCGUGUGUGAAGAAGGUCUUCGGAUUGUAAAGCACUUUAAGUUGGGAGGAAGGGUUGUAGAUUAAUACUCUGCAAUUUUGACGUUACCGACAGAAUAAGCACCGGCUAACUCUGUGCCAGCAGCCGCGGUAAUACAGAGGGUGCAAGCGUUAAUCGGAAUUACUGGGCGUAAAGCGCGCGUAGGUGGUUUGUUAAGUUGGAUGUGAAAUCCCCGGGCUCAACCUGGGAACUGCAUUCAAAACUGACUGACUAGAGUAUGGUAGAGGGUGGUGGAAUUUCCUGUGUAGCGGUGAAAUGCGUAGAUAUAGGAAGGAACACCAGUGGCGAAGGCGACCACCUGGACUAAUACUGACACUGAGGUGCGAAAGCGUGGGGGAGCAAACAGGAUUAGAUACCCUGGUAGUCCACGCCGUAACGAUGUCAACUAGCCGUUGGAAGCCUUGAGCUUUUAGUGGCGCAGCUAACGCAUUAAGUUGACCGCCUGGGGAGUACGGCCGCAAGGUUAAAACUCAAAUGAAUUGACGGGGGCCCGCACAAGCGGUGGAGCAUGUGGUUUAAUUCGAAGCAACGCGAAGAACCUUACCAGGCCUUGACAUCCAAUGAACUUUCCAGAGAUGGAUUGGUGCCUUCGGGAACAUUGAGACAGGUGCUGCAUGGCUGUCGUCAGCUCGUGUCGUGAGAUGUUGGGUUAAGUCCCGUAACGAGCGCAACCCUUGUCCUUAGUUACCAGCACGUAAUGGUGGGCACUCUAAGGAGACUGCCGGUGACAAACCGGAGGAAGGUGGGGAUGACGUCAAGUCAUCAUGGCCCUUACGGCCUGGGCUACACACGUGCUACAAUGGUCGGUACAGAGGGUUGCCAAGCCGCGAGGUGGAGCUAAUCCCAUAAAACCGAUCGUAGUCCGGAUCGCAGUCUGCAACUCGACUGCGUGAAGUCGGAAUCGCUAGUAAUCGCGAAUCAGAAUGUCGCGGUGAAUACGUUCCCGGGCCUUGUACACACCGCCCGUCACACCAUGGGAGUGGGUUGCACCAGAAGUAGCUAGUCUAACCUUCGGGAGGA